rnacentral:rRNA from 1 species
CCCUUAGAUGUCCUGGGCCGCACGCGCGUUACACUGAUGCAUUCAACGAGCUUAUAACCUUGGCCGAGAGGCCUGGGCAAUCUUGUUAACGUGCAUCGUGAUAGGGAUAGAUUAUUGAAAUUAUUAAUCUUGAACGAGGAAUUCCUAGUAAACGCAGAUCAUCAAUCUGCAUUGAUUACGUCCCUGCCCUUCGUACACACCGCCCGUCGCACCUACCGAUUGGAUGGUCCGGUGAAGCCUCGGGAUUGUGGUUCUUGCCGCUUUAUUGUGGCGUGACCGCGAGAACUUGUCUAAACCUUAUCAUCUAGAGGAAGGUGAAGUCGUAACA